CCCAGCAGCCCUGGCUGGAGAGAUGGUAUCCCCAUUUUAUGGAUGAGAGGAGUGAGGCUCAGAGACUUGACUUUCCCCAGGUCGCAGAGCCGGUGGGUAGGGGAGGCAUAUGCAGACACCCACCUCUCUGCCUGCUGCCAGGAACCCCGCCACUCCCAGAGCCCCACUGCCAGAGCUGGUGGCCUGUGCGGCCUCCUGCCCUCACAGGCCCUGAGGCCCCCGAGCCCACAGGCAAAGAGAGAGAUCGCCAGGCCCCCUCCCAGUUACACUCCCUACAAGCCCACCUGACCUGAGGUCUUCUGGUCUUUGUUUUUGUACCUGCUGUCUCCUCAUCUAGCCAAUGAACUCCUAGUUAGUCUCUCCUUCUGAACUUCAUGGCACUCUGCACUUCCCUGUCGCUGUAUUUGAUGCCCUGGAUGGUCCUCGUCAAGGGAUGUGUCUUGUUCACCACUUGGUACCUCCCCAGUGCCUGGUGCCAUAAUUGUCUGUGGAGUGAAUUGAUAGGAAUAUUUAUUGAGCACCUACUUGUCUCCAAUACUUCGGACCCCUGAUGGGAAGAACUGACUCAUUGGAAAAGACCCUGAUGCUGGGAAAGAUUGAAGGCAGGAAGAGAAGUGGACGACAGAGGACGAGAUGGUUGGAUGGCAUCACCGACUCGAUGGACAUGAGUUUGAACAAGCUCUGGGAGUUGGUGAUGGACAGGAAAGCCUGGCGUGCUGCAGUCCAUGGGGUUGCAAAGAGUCAGACAUGACCGAGGGACUGAACUGAACUGAACUUGUUCAGGCACUUUUUAGGACCUAGGAGGCUGUCUCCACAGAACUUACAUUCUAGCAGAGGAGACAGACAUUAUACAAGCUGCAUAAGCAAAACACAUAUUGCGUUAGAUCGUGAUAAAGUCAAGGGGAAAGAAAACAAAUCAGGGAGGAGGGAAAAAGGAAAUGUUAGUGGUGAGGGUGCCCCAUUGAGAAGAUGAUUUUUGGUAAAGACCUGAAGAAGGUGAGGGAGCUGCGUGGAUACUUGGGAAGAGCAAUCCAGGCUGAGGGAACAAGGACCCCCCAGCCCUUGCCUGGCCUAUAAGAGGGACAGGGAGGAAGCCUGAGUGGCAGGAGAGGGAGAGAGGGGUAUGGGAAUUGAUGUCUGAGAGCAAAUGGGGUCAGAACCUGCAGACUAUUGUAAGGCUUUUGCUCUGAGUGAGAUGGGAGCCACUGCAGCAUUUUGACAGUGUGACGUGGGUUUUCAGGGUCCCUCUGGCUGCUGUGUUGAGGACACUGUGGAGGCAGGUGCCCAGGGAGGAGGCUGCUUCAGUAAUCUAGGAGAGAUGGGUGGUGUCUUGAGCCAAGUGGCAGCUGUGCAAACAGUGAGAAGUGGUCAGAUCCUGGAUCGAUUUUGAAGGGAAAUCCAGUGAGACUUGCAGAUGGUGGAUCAGCUAUGCUGGGGCAGAGAAGGGGGGAAACUAAGAGUUGACCCCGUUGGGACCUCCCUGGUGGUCCAGUGGCUGGGACUCCGUGCUCCCAAUGCCAAUUCACAGUCAGGAAACUAGAUUCCACAUGCUGCAACUAAAGAUCCCGAAUACUACAGUCAAGAUCAAAGACUCCGAGGACUGCAACUAAGACCUAGUGUGGCCAAGUAAAUAAAUAUUAAGAAAAGAAAAAAAAGAGUUGACCC
ensembl:lncRNA